UGAAUGCUGGAUUGAGGUCUCGUUUACAGAACGUACUUCUUUAUAAUUCCAUACCUUAUUCCCAUCUGUAUGGAAUGUAAUGAAGUAUGUAUUGUUAGUCGGGAAAAAGUCAUCAAUUGGGA
rnacentral:precursor_RNA from 14 species